GUCUACAGCCAUGUCACCCUGAACAAGCCCAAUCCCGUCUGAUCUUGGAAUUAUGCUUUAUAUUUAGUUGUCAUGUAUCUUAUUAAGUCUUUGUAUCUUAAGUCAUGUAUCUUAAGGGUCAGAUCUGUUAGUACUUGGAUGGGAGACCACCUAGGAAAACCAGGUGCGGUAGGCA
rnacentral:rRNA from 1 species